ensembl:lncRNA DUXAP10 double homeobox A pseudogene 10
CCCUGCAGCAGCAGCGGCGUGGUCAGAGCGAGCUUCGGAGAAGCAGUGGUGGGUUCCAUGUGAUGGUGGAGUAGGAGGCAGGUCUCCGCGGUUCAUCUGUGUUGCUCUAAAUGACACUGUUUCAUUAUUUUGAUGGCUGGAGAAUAUUUCCUAGUGUAUGUAUAUGAGAGUUUCUUGAUCUCUUUAUCUGUGGAUGAACAGCUACUUUGAAACAUAUGGUACAUUUGUGUUAAGGCUAGUCACCCUGCUGUGGAAUAGAAGGCCAGAAUUGAUCAGUCUCAUCUGAGAGUAACUUUGUACCCAUCACUGAUUCCUUCUGAGACUGCCUCCACUUCCCCAGCAGCCUCUGGUUUCUUCAUGUGGCUGCAGAUGGCAGGAUUUCCCAAAGGUUUCUGGCUGAAACAUAUUCCGUGGUGUAUCUGUACAGCAGUUUCCUCAUCCCUGCAGCUGUGUUUGAACAGGUUCAACAGUAUGGCUCCAAAGGAUGAAAUUUCAUUCUGAUUUUCUGGCUGAAGACUAUUCUCUUUGUGUAUGUCCACCACAGUUACUUUAUCCCUUCAUCUGUGGAUGGGCAGUCUCGCUGUAUUGCCCAGGCUGGAGUGCAGUGGCAUGAUCUCAGCUCACUGCAAGCUCUGCUUCCUGGGUUCACGCCAUUCUCCUGCCUCAGCCUCCUGAGUAGCUGGGAUUACAGGCACCCGCCACCACGCCCAGGAAAGAAAAAAGAAGAAAACAAACCUCCAUACGAGAAUGGGUCUAAAGGAACUUCCCAAACCUCCAUGAUUUUGCAGGAAACAAGAUAAAGCUCCAGGCCAGGAGCCCCAACUGGCUGGUGGAGGAUGUCUUGCUCCUCAGCAGCUGGGAUUUGUAAGUAUUUGUAGGAACAUGGAACAGAUCAGUGGCUGACAGGCCCAGGAAGCAGACAGUCCCCUUCCCAUAGGUCACCAGCUUCACUUCCCCUUCCUGCACCCCAUCCUGAUUUGAGGGAGCCCAGGAUGACAAAGAGGGAGUAGUUGAGCAAGGUAUGGAGUGGCAGCCUCUACAGGAGCUCAAAGGAUGCAUUUGUCCAUCUGCCCUGGGCUCAGCUUCCACACUCAGAGUCACUCACAUCCCUCCACCGUCGCCACAGCUCACCUGUGUGCCCACACGGCCAAGGUCACACUGACCCCAAACGCACACUGUUUCAACUCUCAGCACUUCACUGUCACACUCGCGUGUGUACACACAUGCUUUCUAAUUUCCACAGCCACAUGGAUGCUCACACACUCACACCUUUGCACACACACACAAGCUGGCUCACAGACACACUGGGGGCCCAGAUCCUGGUCAUUCCCCACAGGUCUUAAUAAAGGUUCAUGGAAGGAAACCUGUUUCCUAAGGUAGGGUGGGAGUGUGUGUGAGUGUGUGGGGGGGAGAGGGUGAGAGUGAGUGUGUGCGUGUGUUAGUGUGUGUGUGUAUGUAAGGAGCAGGAGUGACUGGGUCCUGAGUUUAGGGAGUUGGGAAGAGGAAGGAGAGAUGGAGACAAGCCUGGACCAAGAGCCACUCAGAGCUGCCUGGAAGGGAAGCCAGGCUGAGAUAAAGGCAAGGCAAAGAAAUAAGACACUGACAAGGAUCAAGCCAGGGUUGGGUAGGGACUGGGAACAGAGUCUGCCUCCAUGAGAAGCUGUCACAUUGCUGCUCUGGUGCCCUGUGACAGCGGCACCAUCUCCAGCUGGAGACUCCCCUCUCUGGAUCUUGUCAUUGUGACUUUGCUUUGUUGGACAACCAGGAGUGGUGACAGGCAGGGAAUAUGGUGCCCAGGGCAGCUAGCCAUGCCACGCCAGUCCAGCUGCCAACCCACCCGUCACUGGCCAUCUCAUCACCUGCCAGAGGGAGUGGGGUGGUGCAGAUGAAACCAGCGAUCAGCUUGGCUGCCCUUGCUUCGUAGUGCCACAGUAGAGGCUAGGGGAGCAACUGGCUUUCCUCCCCAAAAGGCGGGCAGGGUUAUCCACACUUUGCCCAGGUCCCUGAAGCCUGCGGCUGAGCUCGGGGAUAACAGGGGCCAAGUCACCGGUCCCAGACACCUAGGAACUAUUAGAGACAGGAACCAGCAUAUGAGACAGGGGCUGUUAAGUAGGAGGUUGGAGAACACACGUUUUUGGUCUAAACCGGGGGCCCCUCUCUUUGCCCACUGAGCCCGCGGCCUGCGUGGUGCUGAGACUGCCUCUGGCCGCGUCCGCUUGGGACAAGGCCUGAGCGGUGGCUGAUCCCACCUGGAUGUCCCGGGCCGGCUCCCACCCGAAGCCCGCCAUCCCGGGACGCGGUGGGGAGAAGCUGGCACUGCUCCUUGCCAUGCUUGGCGGCCGCUGCUGCCCGGCUGGGGGUCCCGAGUCGCACACGCCCCGCAAGCCCUGGCCACCGAUCCGGAGGGAACGCCCUGGGCUGCGGUCCCCGAAGCCAAGAGAAGAAGCAGGUCCCAGGGCCGACUCCAAAGCCGCAUCUCCAGCUUUGUUCAUGGGUCCGGGAAGCAGAGGCCGCCGCCGGCCACCGUCGUGGGCGAGAAGAAGGGCACGAGGCGGCCGGGGCUCCUGCCCGGAACCACAUGUGCGCGCCGGGCCCCGCUUCUUCAUCGCACUUGCGGCCCCGGCUGCCCGGGGCCUGCGAGUUUCCAGCCAGGGCCCGGGACUCUGGCGCGGUCCGGCCGCGAGGAAGGAAGGCGUGGCCCGGGUGGGGGUAGCGGCAGGCCUGCGGCUCCGGCCACGGGGCAGGGGCAGAAAAACGACCCCGGCGCUGUCCGGGCAUCCAGCUCGGUUCCCGCUGCAGCCAGGAGACUCCCGGGAGCGCUCUAGGAACCACAGAGCCCUGGAACUCACCUGGCAGCCUCGCGGCGCUAAAGCCGGCGGAGCCUGAGACAGCGCGCGGCGAGGCGGUCACGCUCCACCCCCGCGUGGCGGCAGGACUCGGAUUUCGCCCCUGGUUUUAAAAUUGUGCCGGUGGAGCCCGGGACGCUGGGAAGAGCGUUCUGCGCCCCUCCAGUCGCGGUCUCCGCCCUAAACCGACUUCCAGAGCCGCCUCUGCUCCCUGGAGGGGCGCAGUGGCGGACACCGGCGUCCCACGAAGUCGCAGGUCCUCAGUCUGAGGGCUGCCCCGCACGCUCGGAAUGCAGGAGGGUCUCCGCCUCGCUGCGCUGCCCCUGGGGGCGGAGGCGUGCGCUGCAGGCGAGAGAGGCGGCCCGGUAUCGAUGGAGAAGCACAGAGGGCUUUGAGGUCGCAACGUCCCGGUUGCUGAGCGGAGUCAGGAGUCAGGUUCCAAAGGGACAGCGCUCAGGGUUGUAAUCACCACCCGGCCCACCGCUUCCGCAGCUGCGAGUCUAGGGCGGAGCUGUUGGGUGGACCGAGCAGGCGAGGCGCAGGCAGGCAGCGGCUCCGCCUCGGAAUCCGCCUCGACCGGGGCCCAGGUGCCCGCCCCACCUGUCCCUCGGUCACCCCAACCCUGUUUCCUCGACCCCCAGCACUCCUCCAGGCCUAGUUCGCUUCAGAGGCGCGAGACCCGGAAAACAAGGAAGAAGCGAGCUCAGCCUCAAUCCCCGUCCCCACCCCACUUUCGGGACCGCUAAGCUGGAGAAUUGAAGGGGGCGGACCCCGGAUUAAAGCCGCUCCCUUCCCAGCCUCGCCCCGCUUUCCUAAUGUCCGUGAUGAUUUCGUUAUUGGCAGGGAAGAGCCAGACUCCCUGCGCUCCCAAGACGGGGCGAUUGGGAGGGGGUUCUGGAGCUCAUGCCUGGGGUCGGCCCGGCGGGGGUGACCCCGCGCCCUCGCCGGUGCAAGGAGAACAGCUGGUUCCCGCCGGGGCAGGGAAGCGUGGACGGUGUGGGCUCAGGCGCCUGGCAGGCACACGGGGCCUCUAAAGCUUGGUCACUGUCACAGAUCGUGUGGUUGUUUCUUCCGUCCCCGCCACGCCUUCCUCCUGGGAUGGGGAUUCAUUCCCUAGCAGGUGUCGGAGAACUGGCGCCCUUGCAGGGUAGGCGCCCCGGAGCCUGAGGCGGGAACUUUAAAAUCAGACGCUUGGGGGCCGGGCUGGGAAAAACUGGCGGAAAAUAUUAUAACUGAACUCUCAAUGCCAGCUGUUGUAGAAGCUCCUGGGACAAGCCGUGGAAGUCCCCUCAGGAGGCUUCCGCGAUGUCCUAGGUGGCUGCUCCGCCCGCCACGGUCAUUUCCAUUGACUCACACGCGCCGCCUGGAGGAGGAGGCUGCGCUGGACACGCCGGUGGCGCCUUUGCCUGGGGGAGCGCAGCCUGGAGCUCUGGCGGCAGCGCUGGGAGCGGGGCCUCGGAGGCUGGGCCUGGGGACCCAAGGUUGGGCGGGGCGCAGGAGGUGGGCUCAGGGUUCUCCAGAGAAUCCCCAUGAGCUGACCCGCAGGGCGGCCGGGCCAGUAGGCACCGGGCCCCCGCGGUGACCUGCGGCCCCGAAGCUGGAGCAGCCACUGCAAAUGCUGCGCUGACCCCAAAUGCUGUGUCCUUUAAAUGUUUUAAUUAAGAAUAAUUAAUAGGUCCGGGUGUGGAGGCUCAAGCCUUAAUCCCCAGCACCUGGCGAGGCCGAGGAGGGAGGAUCCCUUGAGCCCAGAGGUUCGAGACUAGCCUGGGCAACACAGUCAGACUCCAUCCUUCCAAAACAAACAAACGAAAAUAAAACAAACAGAAAACGAAAUUAGCCGGGUGUGGUGGUGCGGGCCUGUGGUCCCAGCUCCUCGGGAGGCUGAGGCAGGAAGAUGGCUUGCGACUGCACCACUGCAUUCCAGCCUUCGCGACAGAGCAAGACCCUGUCUCGAAAAAUGUGUAUGUCUGGGUAAGUGUAUAGAUUUUACAACUAUUUUGAAGGCGACCUUUUUAACUUUAAACAGACCACUCUGGAGGAGACGCCUGACCCAGAGCGCUUUACCUAAAGUUCGGUGCCUAAAAUGCACCCUUCCUCUGGCUGGUGUCUCCCUUCUGCCAAGCUAUGCCUCCUGCAGAGGUAGGCUCCGUGGUGUCUCCCACUCCGCCCCAACUGGAGAACGGUGUAAAGAACUGUCAGCCGGGUGCAGUGGCUCACGCCUGUAAUCUCAGCACUUUGUGAGGCCGAGAGGGGCGGAUCACUUGAGGUCAGAAGUUCAAAACCAGCCUGGCCAACAUGGUGAAACCCCGUCUCUGCUACAAAAAUUAGCCAGGCGUGAUGGUGGAUGCCUGUAAUCCCAGCUACUCAGGAGGCUGAGGCAGGAGAGUUGCUUGAACCCGGGAGGCGGAGGUUGCAGUGAGCAGAGAUGGCGCCACUGCACUCCAGCCUGGGUGACAAGAGCAACUCCGUCUCCCAAAAAAAAAAAAAGAAGAAUUGUCAACAAGAGGGAGUGGCAAUUCAGAAGCAUAUUUAAGCCAAGUCCUCAAGACUAGAAAGCAUGAAGCAGGGGAGGCGUUUUGAAAGCGUAAGAACAAUAGACCAUGGGCAUGGAUGGCCGAGUCUGGGGAUCAGCAUCGUAAUUUGUUGAGAAGGAGGCCGUGCUGUGCUGCCAGUUAUUAAUUGGUUUAAUCGGUUGAUACACAGCCCUACUGGCCUAACCAGUAGCCCAGGGCCCUGGAGGAUUUGCAGUUCGUGUCAGAAUUUGAUUGCAGUUCCUUCCACUUGGCAUAAGGAGACACUAUCAGCCUGAUUGGGAGGGUGAUGGUGGGAUGGAGCCUGCCGAGGUGGCGGCGCUGAGCUGACCACACCACCGGCCAUAGAGUGGGAGCCUUUCCUGCCCGCUUAACUGCAGCUAAUAUCAAAAGCACUGGUAUGGGCUGUCUAUCUGUGCUGGAACCUGAGUUUAUCUUUGUCUGCAAUUACGAUUCUUCUGGGUUUAUUUUGCCAGCUCAUUAUCCAGCCCCCUGGAAUCAGGCCUCCCAAAUUUAGCAGGUGCUGGGGAGGACCCUAGGGAGUGGUUUAUGGGGGCUAGCUGGUGAAACUGCCCUUUCCUUUCUGUUCUAUGAGUGUGAUGGUGUUUGAGAAAAUGUGGGGCUAUGGUUCAGGCGCACUUCACAUGUGCAAAGAUGGAGAAAGCACUCACCUACACGUUUAGGCUCAGAAUAUUGAUUGAAACAUUUUGAAUGAUCAAAAAUAAAAUGUUAUUUUUAAAGUU